rnacentral:rRNA from 1 species
CUACGGGUGGCUCCAGUGGGGAAUUUUGCGCAAUGGGGGAAACCCUGACGCAGCAAUACCGCGUGAGUGAAGAAGGCCUUUGGGUCGUAAAGCUCUUUUCUUGGGGAAGAUAGUGACGGUACCCAAGGAAUAAGCACCGGCUAACUCCGUGCCAGCAGCCGCGGUAAUACAGAGGGUGCAAGCGUUGUUCGGAUUUACUGGGCGUAAAGGGCACGUAGGCGGCACAGCAAGUUAAGGGUGAAAUCCCGGGGCUCAACUCCGGAACUGCUCUUAAAACUGCUGAGCUAGAGAUAGUCAGAGGCGGGUGGAAUUCCAGGUGUAGAGGUGAAAUUCGUAGAUAUCUGGAGGAACACCGGUGGCGAAGGCGGCCCGCUGGGGCUAUUCUGACGCUAAGGUGCGAAAGCGUGGGGAGCAAACGGGAUUAGAUACCCCCGUAGUC